UCUCUCUCUCUCUCUCACUCAUCAGCAAUGGCGCAGCUCCAUGUCCUGAUGAUCCCCCUGAUGUCACAGAGCCACAUAAUCCCCCUGAGCGACUUCGCGAAAUCCCUGGCCCGCCGCGGCGCCCUGGUGUCCAUCGUGACCACCCCCCUCAACGCCCAGCGCUACAAACCCAUCCUCGACACCUCCGCCGCCCAGAAUCUCCGCAUCCAGAUGAUCCCCCUCCACUUCCCCUGCCGCGAGGCCGGCCUCCCCGACGGCUGCGAGAAUCUCGACACCCUCAACUCCCUCCACCUCGCCCGCCAAUUCUUCCACGCCUGCAAACUCCUCCAAGCCCCCCUCCGCGCCCUCAUCCACCAGCUCCGCCCCGCCCCCAACUGCAUCAUCUCCACCAGCGCCAUUUCCUGGACCCAGGACCUCGCCGACGCCUUCCGAAUCCCGCGCUACGUCUUCGAAACCGUCUCCUGCUUCACCCUCCACUGCUCCAAAAAAAUCUCUAAUGUCACAGACAAAGAUGGUGUAUUUCUAGUGCCACAAAUUCCUCACCGGAUCGAAUUUUCCAGAAACCAGUUACCUCAAAUCUCGACCCAGGAUUCGGAUCCGUACGUUGACCGUGUCCCGGCUCUAGGCCGGGGCACGCUGGUGAACAGCUUCGAGGAGCUGGAGCCGUGGUACCUGGCGGCAUGCAGGGAGGAGAGAGGAAACGUGUGGGCCGUGGGCCCCGUUUCUCUCUCCAACCGGGAGGUUUCAGAGCGGUUUAAGAGAGGGAACGAGGCUUCAAUCGAUCCCCAUUACUGCCUGACGUGGCUGGAGUCCAUGAAAAGGCAUUCCGUGGUGUACGCCUGUUUUGGGAGCCUGUGCUCUUUAUCUCUGGAGCAGAUAAUCGAGAUAGGUUUAGGGUUGGAGGAAUCUGGCUUUCCUUUCAUUUGGAUUAUCAGGAAACAGGAGAAGAACUCCGGCGAGGUGGAGGAGUGGCUGGCGGCGGAGGGGUUCGGGGAGAGGGUCCGAGGAAGGGGGCUGGGUGGUGCGGGGAUGGGCCCCGCGAGGUGAUGAUACUGUCGCACCCGUCGGUGGGAGGGUUUCUGACGCACUGUGGGUGGAACUCGACUCUGGAGGGGGUGAGCGCCGGCGUGCCCAUGAUCACGUGGCCCAUGUUUGCGGAGCAGUUUUACAAUGAGAAGAUGGUGGUGGAUGUGUUGGGGAUUGGGGUGAGGGUAGGGGUGGAGAGCUGCAUGGAGAAGCAGGGUGUGGUGGGGCGGGAGCGAGUGAGAUGUGCUGUCGAAGAAUUGAUGAUGGAUGAGAGAGAGGAUAGGAGAGAGAGAGCUGAGGCGCUUGCGAGGUCGGCCAGGGAUGCAUAUGAAGAAGGGGGUUCGUCUUCCUUAAAUGUCACCUUGUUUAUUCAAGACGUUGUCAGGGCAAAUGCAGAAUUAAUGGUCAAUGUAUGAUUGUAACUUUAAAUCUAGUACUUGGACGUAGAAACAAUGAAUUAAUGGUGCAUGUCUUCAACACAUAUAUACUCCUUAAUUUUAUUUACUCGAAUAUAUUGUUGAUCAUGAGAGCUGGGAACUCGUCGUUACAUUAAUCAACUUAACGUCGUGAAUAAUGUAGGUUGCAUGUUUUUUUGUGGAAGUGCAUUGUUGAAUAAUAAUUAUGAUUUAUGUAUGUCAAACUACGGACGAAAGAAUAUACAUGAAGAAACUUAAAUAUGCAUGAUUUGGAGACUAAUAGAGGAGGUAAAAAAAAGUUGAUAUAUAUAUAAUAUAUAUAUAUAGGGUGAGGCUACAUAUUUUAGUGUAUAAAUAUGUAUAAGAUCCAGCCAUCCAUCUCUAAAUAAUUUACGAUCCAGAUUAAAACUUAAUCUUUUUUAUGGUUUAUAUAGUUAUACGUACUGAUUCGUAACAAAUAUUGGAUGAAGGGUAAAACUGCUAUUAAAAUUGAGCUUGACAUUUCAUAUCUCUCCGUCUGUUCCGAUAAUUAUGCGGUGGGAUAUGGAAAGAUUUUCUUUUCCAUAACCUAAUGAUAAUGGUUUAGAUUUUUGAAUGUUUGAUAUGAAUUGAAUGCCAAAAAAAAAAAAGCAUCAAUCAGGUAUUCAUGUUGGAUAAUAUAUGAUGGGGGUUAUUUUAAUGAGGUAUUGUACUUCGUUACGAAUUACAUUUUAGUGGGGUAAGAUUAAAAUCAUAUUUUUGGUAUUACGUAAUUAUCUUUUUGGGUAUUUACGAAUUAUUAGCAAGUUUGCUCUAUUAAUUAAAUGAUUUGUUAUUCAACGUUUUUAGUGGUUUACUACAUCGUAAAGUCAUUGAUAUGAAUCUAAUUUUUUGAUAGUGAGAAUUUGUAUGAUCUAUUUUAAGAGUCGUACGAAUUAAUACUUUUUUUGGUGUUAAUAAUUGAAAUCAAGUUUUAUUUGAAAUAAAAUGGUAUGUUAUUCUGCUGUUUUUGUGGUUUACUACAUAAUAAUCUUGUUGUUACGAAACUAAAUUUUUUUNUAUAUAUAUAUAUAUAUAUAUAUAUAUAUAUAUAUAUAUAUAAUCGUAAAAUAAAUGAACUUUCAAAAAUUCAAAGUUUUUUUGUAGCUUUUUAGUUUCGGGGUUUGGGUUUGGGGUUUGGGGUUCGGGGUUUCGGGGUUUAGGGUUUAAAUAUUUUUGUAUCAAUUCUAGUCAUCACUUUUCCUUCACUAUAUAAAUACAACUCACGACGGAGUUUCAUGACCAUCCACGAUCCACACCACACUCUCUCUCUCUCUCUCUCACUCAUCAGCAAUGGCGCAGCUCCAUGUCCUGAUGAUCCCCCUGAUGUCACAGAGCCACAUAAUCCCCCUGAGCGACUUCGCGAAAUCCCUGGCCCGCCGCGGCGCCCUGGUGUCCAUCGUGACCACCCCCCUCAACGCCCAGCGCUACAAACCCAUCCUCGACACCUCCGCCGCCCAGAAUCUCCGCAUCCAGAUGAUCCCCCUCCACUUCCCCUGCCGCAAGGCCGGCCUCCCCGACGGCUGCGAGAAUCUCGACACCCUCAACUCCCUCCACCUCGCCCGCCAAUUCUUCCACGCCUGCAAACUCCUCCAAGCCCCCCUCCGCGCCCUCAUCCACCAGCUCCGCCCGCCCCCAACUGCAUCAUCUCCACCAGCGCCAUUUCCUGGACCCAGGACCUCGCCGACGCCUUCCGAAUCCCGCGCUACGUCUUCGAAACCGUCUCCUGCUUCACCCUCCACUGCUCCAAAAAAAAUCUCUAAUGUCACAGACAAAGACGGUGUAUUUCUAGUGCCACAAAUUCCUCACCGGAUCGAAUUUUCCAGAAACCAGUUACCUCAAAUCUCGACCCAGGAUUCGGAUCCGUACGUUGACCGUGUCCCGGCUCUAGGCCGGGGCACGCUGGUGAACAGCUUCGAGGAGCUGGAGCCGUGGUACCUGGCGGCAUGCAGGGAGGAGAGAGGAAACGUGUGGGCCGUGGGCCCCGUUUCUCUCUCCAACCGGGAGGUUUCAGAGCGGUUUAAGAGAG
rnacentral:lncRNA from 1 species